UCUUUAUAUAGAAACCCCUACAAAUCAUUGCCGCCCAACUAGUAGGGCCCUAAUAUAUUUAGUUGGGGUGACACGGAGUAGUAAACACUUCUUCCCAAAACAAAAAUAAAAGGUCCUAUGACCCGGCUAGCCGAUCAAAAAAUUAAGU
rnacentral:rRNA from 1 species